AACGAACGCUGGCGGCAUGCCUAACACAUGCAAGUCGAACGAGACCUUCGGGUCUAGUGGCGCACGGGUGCGUAAUGCGUGGGAACCUGCCCUUAGGUUCGGAAUAACUCCCCGAAAGGGGUGCUAAUACCGGAUAAUGUCUUCGGACCAAAGAUUUAUCGCCUUUGGAUGGGCCCGCGUUGGAUUAGCUAGUUGGUAGGGUAAAAGCCUACCAAGGCGACGAUCCAUAGCUGGUCUGAGAGGAUGAUCAACCACACUGGGACUGAGACACGGCCCAGACUCCUACGGGAGGCAGCAGUGGGGAAUAUUGGACAAUGGGCGAAAGCCUGAUCCAGCAAUGCCGCGUGAGUGAUGAAGGCCUUAGGGUUGUAAAGCUCUUUUACCCGGGAUGAUAAUGACAGUACCGGGAGAAUAAGCUCCGGCUAACUCCGUG
rnacentral:rRNA from 1 species